GCGGAAGUGGCUCAGUGGUAGAGCGUCUCCUUGCCAAGGAGAAGGUCGCGGGUUCAAAUCCCGUCUUCCGCUCCC
rnacentral:tRNA from 1 species